CACGUAGGGCGCAAGCGUUGUCCGGAAUUAUUGGGCGUAAAGAGCUCGUAGGCGGCUUGUCGCGUCGUCCGUGAAAACCCACAGCUCAACUGUGGGCUUGCGGUCGAUACGGGCAGGCUAGAGUUCGGUAGGGGAGACUGGAAUUCCUGGUGUAGCGGUGAAAUGCGCAGAUAUCAGGAGGAACACCGGUGGCGAAGGCGGGUCUCUGGGCCGAUACUGACGCUGAGGAGCGAAAGCGUGGGGAGCGAACAGG
rnacentral:rRNA from 1 species